GGAGGGCGACGCGAUCUGGGAUCGCCGCCGGCUUGAACCCGGAAGGACGCUCGCGCGUUGGGGUUCGAUUCCUCCGCCCUCCU
rnacentral:tRNA from 1 species